GAUGAACGCUGGCGGCGUGCCUAAUACAUGCAAGUCGAGCGGACGGACGAGGAGCUUGCGUCUCUGAUGUUAGCGGCGGACGGGUGAGUAACACGUGUAUAACCUACCUAUCAGACUGGGAUAACUUCGGGAAACCGGAGCUAAUAGCGGAGGAUCUUUUGCAGCGCGGGGGGCAAAGGAGAGAGACGGCGUUGGGGUCACGUAUCGCUGGAUCUGCGCUGCAUUAGAUGGUUGGGAAGGUAAAGGCUUACGAAGGCAACGAUGCAUAGCCGACCUGAGAGGGUGAUCGGCCACACUGGAACUGAGACACGGUCCAGGCGCCUACGGGACGCAGCAGUCUGCAACGUGCCGCAGUGGGCGGAAGCCUGACGGAGCAAGCCCGCGUGAGUGAUGAAGGUCUUCGGAUCGUAAUACUCUGUUUUUAGUGAAGAACAUAUGUGUAAUUAGCUGUGCACAUCGUGACGGUACCGAAUCAGAAAGCCACGGCUAACUACGUG
rnacentral:rRNA from 1 species